GAGAGAGAGAGAGAGAGAGAGAGAGAGAGAGAGAGAGAGAAUAGAGAACGAGGGCACUGAGCGAGCCUGCCUGAGACAUCUGGACGGGAGGCAGCAGAGACAAGGUCUGGGUUAGUGAAGAUCAGUGCAGGGGCGGAAGGCCCUCCCAGGAAAACCCGGGGAGGAAGGGCCACCUCAGGAGAGAAGGGACAGCCCCGUCCCUGCUGCUCUACUCCAGGUUGGCCAGGCACCCUAGCAGCCAAAAGCAAGUGACUUCAGGAGAGCACUGGGCUGAGCCUCACCCCUGGAAACCUUGGGUGGUGCCUCCUCUAUCAUUAACCUGGAUCCUAGGGCUCAUGUGGAUAGUCGCAGUUGAUUUGUAUCUUUAUUAGUCAUUAUAUUGUGAUGCAAUUAAAAUACCAUAAGAUCAACCCAUUACAAAUAUAUAACUCAGUGUUUUAGUAUACUAAGAACAUUGUGCAAUCAUCAUCAUCACACCUGCUAAUUCUAAAAGUUACCUCUCUUUGCAUUUCUCUCCCAUCAGCAUGCUCCUGAGGCAGACUCUGCUUCCCAGAGGCUCCAAGCAGAUCCUGCCAGCACCUCUCUGGACUGUAGGGAAAUGCCCUCCCUAACCCAAGACUAUAUACAGGGCAAAACUCUAUACUCUGCCCCCACCUCAGAACUGGCUCAGCUUUCUGUGAGGCUUUGUAAAGAAAGAUUUAUGUUAUUUUUAGUUAGGUGUGUCUAUGUGUAGGUAUGUGCAUGUGAGUACAGGUGCCUGAGCAUCGGACUUACAGCAGUGGUAACUGGGUGCUGAGAACCAAAGCCAGGUCUUCUGGAAAAGCUGCAAACACUCUGAAUUACUGAGCAUCCCUCUAACCUGAGAGGCCAUUCUUGAUUAGAACGUUAGCUCCUCUUAUUUCUUUUAUUGCGUUAAGUUUCAGGUUCUAUUUAAGUACAGAUUUUUUUUUAAUGCACACAAGCUGUGCAUUAAUACACACCCACCCUGCUGUGUAGUUAGCUGCUGGGACUGCUGACCUGCGGCAGCCAGAGACAAUGGUUCAGAUGCAUGUUGUUUACUUCUUUGGCAUCCUGGCCACAACCCGCGCCCCCUUCUUCCCGUUCUUAUCUACCCCAGGAACUUGCUGCUCUUUUCAGGAUGGCUUUGCUGCUCUAGGAGGAAACACCUUCAACAGUCUUAGCAGAGAAGAACUGGCCCGAGAGCAGCACUUUCAACUUUGUGGAUCAGGAAUGUGUGCCUGUCACCUGGUCAGGGGCAAAGUCCCCGGGAGUAUGAGCUUAUCUGUUUGCUGCUCACAGAAACAGUGCUGGACGUGGAAGUCUGGCCCUGGGUCUUUCUGCAGUCUGUGGUGGACAGCUCAUGCCACAGUCAUGUGUGGAGGCCAGAGGACAGCUGGAGGGAUCAGUUCUUUCCUUCUACUCUAUGGGUCCUAGAGAUGGAACUCAGGUGUCACUCUUAGUGGCAAAUGCCUCUACCUGAUGAGCCCCGCCUCCUCUUAUUGAGUCUGUGAGAAAGACAUGGGCCUGCUGCUAGUGCCGCCAACUUCCCAUCCUCCAGGUCCAUGGAGAGAACGAGCCGGGGCGUCUGGAGGAGCAAGGUGCGUCUGACAGAGCAGAGCCACUGGGCCUUUGGCUUGAGAAGCCAACUGUCGGGGCAGAGCUGGUGCCCCCCACAGAGGCCAGUGAAGAGGCUGCAUUCCAAGUCUCCUGGCUGUGGCCAGCUGGGCCACUCACUCCGCUACUCGCCAGAGUUACCCGUCAGUUCACUUAAGGGAGUUACCCUCUUUGUACUUCAGCUGCUUUUCAGUACGGCAGGGCAUGUGGGAACACCUAGAGGAAUCUUCACGGGGACAGACAUAACUAAAAUAAGUAAACUGAGGUGGGGCAAUGAACAUGGAUGAUUGCAAUAUGACUUAUUUUGGAAACUGGGAACUUUUCAGAAAAUAAAAUCUUUUGCUCAGCUUGAA